GUCUGAGAGGACGAUCAGCCACACUGGGACUGAGACACGGCCCAGACUCCUACGGGAGGCAGCAGUGGGGAAUCUUGCACAAUGGGGGAAACCCUGAUGCAGCGACGCCGCGUGAGCGAUGAAGCCCUUCGGGGUGUAAAGCUCUUUCGUCAGGGAAGAUGGUGACGGUACCUGGAGAAGCAGCUGCGGCUAACUACGUGCCAGCAGCCGCGGUAAUACGUAGGCAGCAAGCGUUGUUCGGAGUUACUGGGCGUAAAGGGUGUGUAGGCGGUUCUUUAAGUUUGGUGUGAAAUCUCCCGGCUUAACCGGGAGGGUGCGCCGAAUACUGAGGGACUAGAGUACGGGAGAGGAAAGUGGAAUUCCUGGUGUAGCGGUGAAAUGCGUAGAUAUCAGGAGGAACACCGGUGGUGUAGACGGCUUUCUGGACCGACACUGACGCUGAGACACGAAAGCGUGGGUAGCAAACAGGAUUAGAUACCCUGGUAGUCCACGCCCUAAACGAUGCAUAUUUGGUGUGGGCAGUUCAUUCUGUCCGUGCCGGAGCUAACGCGUUAAAUAUGCCGCCUGGGGAGUACAGUCGCAAGGCUGAA
rnacentral:rRNA from 1 species